UGAUAAAAACUCCAUCCAUUUUUACUUUUAAAAAUUGGUGUAAUUGACAAAAUAACUCGACAGUUACAUUUGACGUGCCACAUUUACCUUGUGCUAGUUUACCACGACAGUUUCUAAAAGUAGAAAUGGAUGAACUUUAUAUCA
rfam:Gossypium arboreum cultivar AKA8401 contig_8100_1, whole genome shotgun sequence.